UGCAACCCACAGCCCUGGACACAUUAAUAGUGUGGUCACACCCUGUGCAGGAAUCAGUCCGGGCAGGACGUAGCAUGGACAUGAGGGUCCCGACUCAGCUCCUCAGCCUCCUGCUGCUGUGGCUCCCAGGAGCCAGAUGUGAUAUCCAGAUGACCCAGUCUCCAUCCUCUCGGUCUGCAUCACUGGGAGACACAGUCACCAUCACUUGCCGGGCCAGUCAGGGCAUUUACAGUAACUUAGCCUGGUAUCAGCAGAAACCAGGGACAGCUCCUAAGCUCCUGAUCUAUAAUGCAAACAGUUUGCAAACCGGUGUCCCUUCGAGGUUCAGUGGCCAAGGAUCUGGGACAGAUUAUACUCUCACCAUCAGCAGCCUGCAGCCUGAAGAUGUGGCAACUUAUUACUGUCAACAGCGUAGCAGUUGGCCUCCCACAGUGUUAUGA